rnacentral:rRNA from 1 species
GACGAACGCUGGCGGCGUGCUUAACACAUGCAAGUCGAACGGAAAGGCCCUGCUUUUGUGGGGUGCUCGAGUGGCGAACGGGUGAGUAACACGUGAGUAACCUGCCCUUGACUUUGGGAUAACUUCAGGAAACUGGGGCUAAUACCGGAUAGGAGCUCCUGCUGCAUGGUGGGGGUUGGAAAGUUUCGGCGGUUGGGGAUGGACUCGCGGCUUAUCAGCUUGUUGGUGGGGUAGUGGCUUACCAAGGCUUUGACGGGUAGCCGGCCUGAGAGGGUGACCGGCCACAUGGGGACUGAGAUACGGCCCAGAAUCCUACGGGAGGCAGCAGGGGGGAAUAUGGCACAAUGGGCGGAAGCCUGAUGCAGAAACGCCGCGUGCGGGAUGACGGCCUUCGGGUGGUAAACCGCUUUCGCAGGUGACGAAGCGUGAGUGACGGUAAUGGGUAAAGAAGCACCGGCUAACUACGUG